AUGCGGAUUCCGCGCCGCCCCGGCUCGUGCUGCUUGAGGCGACCGCCACCCUCACCACCGCCCGUGCACAGGCGGCGCCGGCAGCCGCCGCUCGCGCCCGCUCCCCGGGGCCGCCUCACUGGCUCCCCCCUCCCUCCCUCCCUCCCUCUCUCCCUCUCUCCCUCCUCCUCCUCUGGCACCUCCUCUUCAUCCGCUGCUCCUCCCGAGAUCUGGGACUAUGCGGAGCGCGCGCGGGAGUCGAGACGCCCGGCCCGUGCGCGCGACUGGGAGGAGGGAGGAGGCGACGGUCACGUGGGGCAGGGGCGUCCGAAGGUGCCGGCUCGGAUCGGCUCGGCGCUGGGCCGCCGCCACUACGCCUGGGCCUCGCGGCUUCCCCACCCUAGUCCCGCAGCCGCCGGCCCCCGCCCCAUACACCGCGCCCGCCCGGGUGUGCGCGCCGCUGAAGGCCCCCAGACCGGAGCUGUAUGCCGAGUUGUUUCUGCUUCCAUGACCAAGUUGCUGGCAGAACUCAAAUCCAAGUCUUCCAGGACCUUUUCAUUAUUCCACAAGAAAUCCAACUUAGGAAGAAGCAAGAAACUGGAGUACUUAGAUUCAUCUGAAGAGAGCAUGGAUGGCUCUUCAGCCGGCUGA
rnacentral:lncRNA from 1 species